CACUUCUGCUAUUUUUUUUGUACGGAUUUGAGCGAUGUACGUGAUGCUAGCUAAUUAGCCUUUCGCGGUGUUGGCUGGUUAAUAUCCGCUACACUAGCAACUGUUUAGCUAGUUAAAAUAAGUAAAGCUAGCGCUCUGGGUUACGCAGUCGUCUGUAUUUACGCUUGUAUAUUUCCCGACGGGAGAUUUAUUUAUUUAUUUUAAUUUUCUCGCGCCGGUGUGCUAGCACCAUUCUGGAGUGUGCCGAGUUUGGCCGGUUUCUAAUGCUAGCUAGUCACUUCCUGUUUAUUUCGAACUUUUCAGAAAACAGAUUAUAGACAGUUUAUAAUUCUGCAUACAAUGACAAACCAUAAAUCUCUAGAAAAACUCUGGGAUGAAGUGAACCGAAGUGGAUAUGAAGCCUACAGUGAUUUAACAACACAGAACUAUAAAGCUUUAAAAGGAGGAGCCUAAAAUCUUUCGGCAAACAUUACACGUACGACUUCGAAGUUAUAAAUGACUCUUAAAACAAACAAACAAACAAACAAAAGUUAAUACAAGCAUCAUGUUUAAGUGUUUACCUUUAGUUGAGAUCUUUUCUCUCUCUUAUUUAUUUUUACAGCAAAAUAAUCCAGUGGAACAGUCCAAAUCCACAGAUCCUCAGAGAGUUCUUUGCCAUGAGGUGCCAUGUUGAACUUCCAGUGACCAGUAUGAGGGAGUGCGAGAGCGAUGACACCAAAUUUAACACACCUGCUCCCCAUUCACACCUGAGACCUUGUAACAGUAACAAGUCACAUGACACCAGGGUGGGAAAAUGGCUAAUUGGGCCCAGUUUGGACAUUUUCACUUAGGGGUGUACUCACUUUUGUUGCCAGCGGUUUAGACAUUAAUGGCUGGGUGUUGAGUUAUUUUGAGGGGACAGCACUGUUCACACUGUUACACAAGCUGUACACUCACUACUUUACAUUGUAGCAAAGUGUCAUUUCUUCAGUGUUGUCACAUGAAAAGAUAUAAUCAAAUAUUUACAAAAAUGUCAGGGGUGUACUCACUUUUGUGAGAUACUGUAUGUGUGUACAUGUGUGUAUAUAUAUAUGUGUGUAUAUACACAUAUAUACACACAUGUACACAUAUACAUGCAUAUAUAUAUAUACACACACACACACACAUACAUAUAGAUAUAGAUAGAUAGAGAUAUAUAUAUGUGUGUGUAUGUAUGUAUGUAUGUAUUUAUGUUUUCAUGAUAGAUAAAUU
ensembl:lncRNA